GAGACGUUCGCCGUCUUUCACCUCCGGAUAUCAACAAUAGCCGGCCAUUUCACAGUUUUCACCGUAAGCUUUCCGUCUACAUGUUUUGGAAAAGAAGAUAAGGGGAAGCUUAUCGUUCAAGUGCCAGACUCAAUGUGGAAUAACGGCGCGCUUUGUGGAAGGAGUCUAUCGGUAAGAUGUAUCGAUGAUCCUCUAAACUGUAAAGCAAAUACAGUAACAGCCAUCAUAACGCAUCAUUGCAGCAACUGUAACAAUGAUAUAAAACUCUCAUUCGAUGCUUAUGUCUUAAUCUCAUACGCAUCUAAUCAUCGCAUUAAAGCCGUUUAUGAACUGGUAUGAGGUGGAGGAUUCCAGCUUUAUUUCUCGGCCUACAUAACUUAAUCCGUGGAGCAGAAGUAAAAUGAUCCUUAGAUCGAUAUGUUCUCAGUUGUUUCAGUGUACUUUUGAACUACUUUGGUGUACUCUUAGUGCACGCGAAUAAAAAAAAAGUUGUGAUACACUUUGUGAUUUUAUCACUAUUAUGAAUAAAAUAUGUAUU